UACAGAGGGUGCGAGCGUUAAUCGGAAUUACUGGGCGUAAAGCGCGCGUAGGCGGACCUGCAAGUCGGGGGGUGAAAGCCCGAGGCUCAACCUCGGAACUGCCUUCGAUACUGCGGGUCUCGAGUCCGGGAGAGGUGAGUGGAAUUCCUAGUGUAGAGGUGAAAUUCGUAGAUAUUAGGAAGAACACCAGUGGCGAAGGCGGCUCACUGGCCCGGUACUGACGCUGAGGCGCGAAAGCGUGGGGGAGCAAACAGG
rnacentral:rRNA from 1 species